rnacentral:misc_RNA from 1 species
CUGCCGGCUAAGUUCAAGUCGAUGCUCGUACCGGGGAAGAUCCAGCACAUCAUAUGCACGGGGAAUCUUUGUAUUAAGGAGGUGCAUGAUUAUUUGAAAAGCCUUUGCCCUGAUCUGCAUAUCACCCGAGGAGAAUAUGAUGAGGAUGCUCGAUAUCCAGAGACCAAGACUCUGACUAUUGGUCAGUUCAAGCUUGGACUCUGUCACGGCCAUCAGGUUGUGCCAUGGGGUGACUUGGAUUCCUUGGCCAUGCUUCAGAGGCAGCUGGACGUUGACAUCCUUGUAACAGGACACACCCAUCAGUUCAAGGCCUACAAGCAUGAGGGCGG